rnacentral:rRNA from 1 species
GACGAACGCUGGCGGCGUGCUUAACACAUGCAAGUCGAGCGGAAAGGCCCUUCGGGGUACUCGAGCGGCGAACGGGUGAGUAACACGUGAGUAAUCUGCCCUUCACUCUGGGAUAGCCACCGGAAACGGUGAUUAAUACCGGAUAUGACCACCGUGGGCAUCCACUGGUGGUGGAAACUUUUUUGGGUGGGGGAUGUGCUCGCGGCCUAUCAGCUUGUUGGUGGGGUAAUGGCCUACCAAGGCUUCGACGGGUAGCCGGCCUGAGAGGGUGACCGGCCACACUGGGACUGAGACACGGCCCAGACUCCUACGGGAGGCAGCAGUGGGGAAUAUUGGACAAUGGGCGGAAGCCUGAUCCAGCAAUGCCGCGUGAGGGAUGACGGCCUUCGGGUUGUAAACCUCUUUCAGCACCGACGAAGCGCAAGUGACGGUAGGUGCAGAAGAAGGACCGGCCAACUACGUGCCAGCCGCCGCAGUAAUAC